UAUUUGUCAUGCCAAUAAAGCUUCUUUCGAGUUCUUUUGACUUUGUGUGUGUGUGUGUGUGUGUGUGGCCUGGCCGUGGAAACGGGGUGACACACCCGGUCCUGGCUGCCCCGGGAGGAGAGGUUGUACCAGCACUGCACUCUCAGUACAGUAGAGACGGAGCUGCACUUCCUCACCCAGUGUACCAAGUACCACCACAUCCGGUUACAAUUCUUCCCCAAAUGUAAUAACAUCAUCCCCAACUUUAACUUCUUCCCAGACCCCGACAAACUGCCCCACCUACUGGGGGAGCACAGAGAGAGCUGCACACUAGCAGCACUCUAUACACACACACCUGCCACCAGGGUCACAGUAGGUCUGGUGCAAGGCAGGAAUUUAUCCUGGAGAAGGUAAACAUGAAGUAAAUCCACCUGUGUGUUUUUAAGAGGUGAGAGAAAGCAGUGUUGGCGCACCUAGUGGGAACACAGGUGUGUGUCUACAUCAUGGCAGGAACAAAGGACACAAGCGAUGACCUCAUUGAAGCAGUUGUUGCUGCUUAACAAUCUGGGAAGGGUGUGCUGGAGCAGAUACUAAACUGUGCAGGUGUUACCGCUCUGGGCAGAGAGAGUGUAUGCACGCCAUGGACUUGUUGCCAGGCAACCAAUAGGAGAACUACUGUGUAGAGAGAGGUGUGAAGGAGCUAGACAGCAGGAACGAAGAGACAUGGUGAGAGGAGGCUGAGGAAGACUGCAGCUAAGCACUCGACCUCUAGAAGACUGAAAUGGCACCUGGCACACUGCACAGGGAUGGAAACGCUGCCUGUUGACACUUUGCUGUAGAAGGAGUCGUCUUUAGGCUCCAGCUCAACCCCUUUUACAGUGGAAAACUGCUCG